rnacentral:rRNA from 1 species
GUGGGGAAUAUUGGGCAAUGGGCGCAAGCCUGACCCAGCAACGCCGCGUGAGGGAAGAAGGCUUUCGGGUUGUAAACCUCUGUCCUUGGUGACGAAAAAAAUGACGGUAGCCAAGGAGGAAGCCCCGGCUAACUACGUGCCAGCAGCCGCGGUAAUACGUAGGGGGCGAGCGUUGUCCGGAAUUACUGGGCGUAAAGGGUGCGUAGGUGGCCUUUUAAGUUGGAUGUGAAAUACCCGGGCUUAACUUGGGGGGUGCAUCCAAAACUGGGAGGCUAGAGUGCAGGAGAGGAAAGCGGAAUUCCUAGUGUAGCGGUGAAAUGCGUAGAUAUUAGGAGGAACACCAGUGGCGAAGGCGGCUUUCUGGACUGUAACUGACACUGAGGCACGAAAGCGUGGGGAGCAAACAGGAUUAGAAACCCCAGUAGUCC